UUAUUAUGAGAGUUUGAUCCUGGCUCAGGACGAACGCUGGCGGCGUGCCUAAUACAUGCAAGUCGAACGCUUCUUUCCUCCCGAGUGCUUGCGCUCAAUUGGAAAGAGGAGUGGCGGACGGGUGAGUAACACGUGGGUAACCUACCCAUCAGAGGGGGAUAACACUUGGAAACAGGUGCUAAUACCGCAUAACAGUUUAUGCCGCAUGGCAUAAGAGUGAAAGGCGCUUUCGGGUGUCGCUGAUGGAUGGACCCGCGGUGCAUUAGCUAGUUGGUGAGGUAACGGCUCACCAAGGCCACGAUGCAUAGCCGACCUGAGAGGGUGAUCGGCCACACUGGGACUGAGACACGGCCCAGACUCCUACGGGAGGCAGCAGUAGGGAAUCUUCGGCAAUGGACGAAAGUCUGACCGAGCAACGCCGCGUGAGUGAAGAAGGUUUUCGGAUCGUAAAACUCUGUUGUUAGAGAAGAACAAGGACGUUAGUAACUG
rnacentral:rRNA from 1 species